UACGUAGGGUGCAAGCGUUAAUCGGAAUUACUGGGCGUAAAGCGUGCGCAGGCGGUGAUGUAAGACAGAUGUGAAAUCCCCGGGCUCAACCUGGGAACUGCAUUUGUGACUGCAUCGCUGGAGUACGGCAGAGGGGGGGAUGGAAUUCCGCGUGUAGCAGUGAAAUGCGUAGAUAUGCGGAGGAACACCGAUGGCGAAGGCAAUCCCUGGCCUGUACUGACGCUCAUGCACGAAAGCGUGGGGAGC
rnacentral:rRNA from 1 species